UACGGGAGGAGGCUCAGACACUGUCUCCUUCACGGGUCCAUCCACAGGUGCUGCUGCAGUUUCAGAUGCUGGUGACUCAGCAACAGCUGCGGUUUCAGGUGCUGGUGACUCAGCAACGGCUACGGUUUCAGGUGCUGGUGACUCAGCAACGGCUACGGUUUCAGGUGCUGGUGACUCAGCAGUAGCUGCAGUUUCAGGCGCUGAUUCAGUCCGUGGUGCCUCAGAAGAUGGAGGAGCUUCAAUAGCCAAUGGUUUUGCAGGUUCUUCGAGCGCCAAUGGCUUAGCUACUUCUGGC
rnacentral:lncRNA from 1 species